UGGGGAAUUUUGGACAAUGGGCGAAAGCCUGAUCCAGCAAUGCCGCGUGUGUGAAGAAGGCCUUCGGGUUGUAAAGCACUUUUGUCCGGAAAGAAAUCCUUGGCUCUAAUACAGUCGGGGGAUGACGGUACCGGAAGAAUAAGCACCGGCUAACUACGUGCCAGCAGCCGCGGUAAUACGUAGGGUGCAAGCGUUAAUCGGAAUUACUGGGCGUAAAGCGUGCGCAGGCGGUUUGCUAAGACCGAUGUGAAAUCCCGGGCUCAACCUGGGAACUGCAUUGGUGACUGGCAGGCUAGAGUAUGGCAGAGGGGGGUAGAAUUCCACGUGUAGCAGUGAAAUGCGUAGAGAUGUGGAGGAAUACCGAUGGCGAAGGCAGCCCCCUGGGCCAAUACUGACGCUCAUGCAUGAAAGCGUGGGGAGCAAACAGGAUUAGAUACCCUGGUAGUCCACGCCCUAAACGAUGUCAACUAGUUGUUGGGGAUUCAUUUCCUUAGUAACGUAGCUAACGCGUGAAGUUGACCGCCUGGGGGAGUACGGUCGCAAGAUUAAAACUCAAUGAAUUGACGGGGUCAUAGCUGUUUCCU
rnacentral:rRNA from 1 species